rnacentral:rRNA from 1 species
CCUACGGGUGGCAGCAGUGAGGAAUAUUGGUCAAUGGACGAGAGUCUGAACCAGCCAAGUAGCGUGAAGGAUGACUGCCCUAUGGGUUGUAAACUUCUUUUAUAUGGGAAUAAAAUGUUCCACGUGUGGGCUUUUGUAUGUACCAUAUGAAUAAGGAUCGGCUAACUCCGUGCCAGCAGCCGCGGUAAUACGGAGGAUCCGAGUGUUAUCCGGAUUUAUUGGGUUUAAAGGGAGCGUAGGUGGAUUGUUAAGUCAGUUGUGAAAGUUUGCGGCUCAACCGUAAAAUUGCAGUUGAAACUGGCAGUCUUGAGUACAGUAGAGGUGGGCGGAAUUCGUGGUGUAGCGGUGAAAUGCUUAGAUAUCACGAAGAACUCCGAUUGCGAAGGCAGCUCACUGGACUGCAACUGACACGGAGGCUCGAAAGUGUGGGUAUCAAACAGGAUUAGAUACCCGAGUAGUC